GUGAAUAAAGUUCUAAUCUUUACAUGUUGUUCAUGAUACCAUGAUAUUUUGUGGAUUCAAUUGGUGGAAUUGAGUUGAAUUAUGGUGUUAUGGUGUAUAAAAUUGAUCAUUAGGCCUAUGCCCUAAAUAGUGCAUGCAAGGUGUUUGUUAAAAUGCCUAAGUGAAGAAGAAUUGAGCACUUUGACCUAUUUGUGAUCUAAAUGAUGAUUCCACGUCAUAUCCAUGUGCUUAAGUUGACUCCCAUGCUAAAGCUAUGCCUACCAUGUGUUUGAUAAUGUGCC
rnacentral:lncRNA from 1 species